AACGAACGCUGGCGGCAGGCCUAACACAUGCAAGUCGAACGCCCUAGCAAUAGGGAGUGGCAGACGGGUGAGUAACACGUGGGAACCUUCCCUAUAGUAUGGAAUAGCCCAGGGAAACUUGGAGUAAUACCGUAUACGCCCGAGAGGGGAAAGAUUUAUCGCUAUAGGAUGGGCCCGCGUAGGAUUAGCUAGUUGGUGAGGUAAUGGCUCACCAAGGCGACGAUCCUUAGCUGGUCUGAGAGGACGACCAGCCACACUGGGACUGAGACACGGCCCAGACUCCUACGGGAGGCAGCAGUGGGGAAUAUUGGACAAUGGGCGCAAGCCUGAUCCAGCCAUGCCGCGUGAGUGAUGAAGGCCUUAGGGUUGUAAAGCUCUUUUGCCGGGGACGAUAAUGACGGUACCCGGAGAAUAAGUCCCGGCUAACUUCGUGCCAGCAGCCGCGAUAAAAUCACGUGUA
rnacentral:rRNA from 1 species